UCCCGGGUGGUUCAGAUGGUAAAGCGCCUGCCUAUAAUGCAGGAGACCCAGGUUCAAUCCCUGGCUUGGGAA